CAGUGGGGUGGCAAUUUGGCUGUAUUGUGGUACAAAUUGCCUGUAAUAUCCAGCCAAGCCUGAGAAGGAUUGGACCGGUUUCUUUGACUUUGGGACAGGCCACUUUCGGAUAGCAUCUACUUUGGCCUGUAGGAGGUUGAUAGUUCCUUGACCCAGCUGGUGUCCAAGGUAAGUCACUCUGAAGUCCUGGAAAAAAUU